rnacentral:rRNA from 1 species
UACAGAGGGGGGCAAGCGUUGUUCGGAAUUACUGGGCGUAAAGCGCGCGUAGGCGGCUUUGCAAGUCGGGUGUGAAAUCCCCAGGCUUAACCUGGGAACUGCAUUCGAGACUGCAUUGCUAGAGUAUGGGAGAGGGAAGUGGAAUUUCCGGUGUAGCGGUGAAAUGCGUAGAUAUCGGAAGGAACAUCAGUGGCGAAAGCGACUUCCUGGACCAAUACUGACGCUCAUGUGCGAAAGCGUGGGGAGCAAACAGG